rnacentral:rRNA from 1 species
GUCUACGGCCAUGCCACCCUGAACAAGCCUGAUUCUGUCUGAUUUCGGAAGCUAAGUAGGGUCUGACCUGGUUAGUACUUGGAUGGGAGACCACCUAGGAAGACCUGGUGCUGUAGGUG